rnacentral:rRNA from 1 species
CUACGGGUUGCACCAGUUAGGGAUAUUCGGCAAUGGGGGAAACCCUGACCGAGCAAUGCCGCGUGAAUGAAGAAGUAUUUCGAUAUGUAAAGUUCUGUUGUUAAGGAAGAAAGGUACGAAUAGGAAAUGAUUCGUAAUUGACGGUACUUAACCAGAAAGCCCCUGCUAACUACGUGCCAGCAGCAGCGGUAAUACGUAGGGGGCGAGCGUUAUCCGGAAUUAUUGGGCGUAAAGGGUGCGUAGGCGGCCUGUCAAGUCCGAGUUGAAAGCCCACGGCUUAACCGUGGGGGGUGCUCGGAAACUGAUAGGCUUGAAUCCAGAAGAGGCAAGUGGAAUUCUAUGUGGAGCGGUGGAAUGCGUAGAUAUAUGGAGGAACACCAGUGGCGAAGGCGGCUUGCUGGGCUGGUAUUGACGCUGAUGCACGAAAGCGUGGGGAGCAAACAGGAUUAGAUACCCUUGUAGUC